rnacentral:rRNA from 1 species
UACGUAGGGGGCUAGCGUUGUCCGGAUUUAUUGGGCGUAAAGAGCGUGUAGGCGGCCAGGUAGGUCUGCUGUGAAAACUCGAGGCUCAACCUCGAGACGUCGGCGGAAACCAUCUGGCUAGAGUCCGGAAGAGGAGAGUGGAAUUCCUGGUGUAGCGGUGAAAUGCGUAGAUAUCUGGAGGAACACCGGUGGCGAAGGCGGCGUUCUGGACUGCAACUGACACUGAAAAACGAAAGCCAGGGGAGCAAACGGG